rnacentral:misc_RNA from 1 species
GAUGAAGAACGUAGCGAAAUGCGAUACGUAAUGUGAAUUGCAGAAUUCAGUGAAUCAUCGAAUCUUUGAACGCACAUUGCGCCCCUUGGUAUUCCGGGGGGCAUGCCUGUUCGAGCGUCAUUUCAACCCUCAAGCUCUGCUUGGUAUUGGGCACCGUCCUUUGCGGGCGCGCCUCAAAGACCUCGGCGGUGGCGUCUUGCCUCAAGCGUAGUAGAAUACACCUCGCUUCGGAGCGUAAGGCGUCGCCCGCCGGACGAACCUUCUGAACUUUUCUCAAGGUUGACCUCGGAUCAGGUAGGGAUACCCGCUGAACUUAAGCAUAUCAAUAAGCGGAGGA